AUACAAUAGAGUAAGUUUCAAGGGUGUCGGCUAACCUCAAAUCAGGAGGUGAUGCCCUGUGGAAGUGAAAGACGCACUGACGCUGAUGAUUUCCUUCGCGAGCUUAGUCGUCCUGAUCCUUUCGCAGAAAAAGAAGUAGACCUCCCUUGACUUUGCGGCUCAAGGAGGUCUAUCUUCGUCCCAAUGAUUGAAGCUGAUUACCCUUGAAGGCAAUCUAUUGUGUUAGACCGUGGAUGUUCCCGCAUCUACG
rnacentral:sRNA from 1 species